AGCACUUUUUGUCUUUACAGGUGAUCCAACCACAUACACGGAGGUGAAUGUCAAAUGGCACAGACCUGACAGCACACCCAAGACUACACAUGCAGUAACCUGUUUGGAGACCUCACACUGGUGUUACGUUGCUGUCGCCCUAUACUUCACUGCAGUGAUUCUACUCAUCACUGUCAUCCUCUUGGCAGUGAAAUGUCACAGCCUCUGAGACAGAUGCUGCCAUCCUCCUGAUGCACAGAGUGUCUUGCAGCAGUGGAGUGAAAUAAUGCCUCAGGUCUGCCAUGACAAGAAGCAAGCACACAGCUGAGUGCAGCUGGAGGUGAUUCCUAUAAGCACUAGGGUUGACAACCAGGAUCGACAGUAACCUGGUGAAGGGACAGGAGACAAGCCACCUGUGUUGUUCAGUCUGGGAUUUGAAGAAAACCAAGAGAACAGUUGUCUGAUUUGGAUUAGGUAUGUCAGUGAGCAGCCCUCCAGAGAAAACCUUCCCAUCCACACCUAGUGCUUCCUAUAGAGCUGCAAAGCAUGUUUAAUUAAUCCUCCAGGCCACUUUCUCUGGAAGCCAUUACUGACUAUGCUGAAGAUACCAUGCCCCAUCCCAUGCCAGG
rnacentral:lncRNA from 14 species